rnacentral:rRNA from 1 species
AACCUCCGCAAUGUACGAAAGUGCGACGGGGGGAUCCCAAGUGUUAUGCUUUUUUGUAUAACUUUUCAUUAGUGUAAAAAGCUUUUAGAAUAAGAGCUGGGCAAGACCGGUGCCAGCCGCCGCGGUAACACCGGCAGCUCGAGUGGUAGCUGUUUUUAUUGGGCCUAAAGCGUUCGUAGCCGGUUUGAUAAGUCUUUGGUGAAAGCUUGUAGCUUAACUAUAAGAAUUGCUGGAGAUACUAUCAGACUUGAAGUCGGGAGAGGUUAGAGGUACUACCGGGGUAGGGGUGAAAUCCUAUAAUCCUGGGAGGACCACCUGUGGCGAAGGCGUCUAACUGGAACGAUCUUGACGGUGAGUAACGAAAGCCAGGGGCGCGAACCGGAUUAGAUACCCGGGUAGUCCUGGCCGUAAACGAUGUGGACUUGGUGUUGGAAUGGCUUUGAGUUGUUCCGGUGCCGAAGGGAAGCUGUUAAGUCCACCGCCUGGGAAGUACGGUCGCAAGACCGAAACUUAAAGGAAUU